rnacentral:tRNA from 1 species
GGAGGUGUAGUUAAAUGGUAGAGCACUUGCCUUGAAUGCAGGAAGCCUAAGAUUCAAAUCCUAGCACCACCA